AGCCAGUUUGCUUCAGAUCGCACCUCACCUGCGCGCGACAACAUUCUGCCUACGCCACCAUGAAGCUGACUGUCCUCUUUGGCGUGGUUAUGGCCCUGUAUUGCCUUGGUUCGGCUCGUGCCAUGCCCAACCCUAUGGCCGACCCUUAUCCCGUGGCAGACCCUUAUCCCGUGGCAGACCCUUAUCCCGUGGCAGACCCUAUUGAGUCUAAGAAUCUACACUCGAAAGAUUGUUUUUGUCUUAUAGUUUGUAUAGCAUGUUAAAAUGGUAACUUGGAGUUGGUUUUAUCCUGGCAACUACCAGGAUAUCUCACUUUUGAGGUGAGGCAGAAUGGCAUAUAUAUAUGUAUAUAUAGUACAUAUACACACAUAUAUAUGAUGUAUAUAUAUAUAUUUUGCAUCUAUGUAUAUAUAUACUUAUAUAUAUGUAUAUUCACAUAUGUAUAUGCGUAUAUACAUACAUAUAUAUAACUAUAUAUAUUGUGGAAUGUACCAUUCACCUAGAGGGGGCGUGGCACUCCAGUUGUCACUCCACAUCCGCACCUGUACAUACCUGUAUCACCUGCGCGUGAUUCCCAUAGUUCACCCACCAUCCCGUUUUUUCGCUUUUAUUUCUAUUAAUUGUAUUUGGUUGUUUUAUUGUUUCUAGUUGUAGUUCAUGUGUCUGAUUUGUAUUUUAUUUCGUUUUGUAUUAUUAUAAGGUCGUGUUUUACGGCUACCUAUUUCUCAGUUUGUGACGUGACACUGCACAUUUCAAUAUUCACUGUUUUAUAUAUAUAUAUAUAUAUUUUUUUUUUUUUUUUUUUUUUUUUUUUUUUGUCAAUAAUUUUAUCUUGUAGUAAUGAUCUCUUUUAUCAUUAUAUUUUAUUAAUGAAUGUUUUUUAAAUUAACGGAUUUUAAUUUUGCUGUCUUAUGAUUUUAGUGUGUUUUAGUUUAUUCAUAAACUCUUUUAGUUCACGUU